rnacentral:rRNA from 1 species
UACGUAGGGGGCUAGCGUUGUCCGGAAUCAUUGGGCGUAAAGCGCGUGUAGGCGGUCCGGUAAGUCCGCUGUGAAAGUCGAGGGCUCAACCCUCGAAUGCCGGUGGAUACUGUCGGGCUUGAGUACGGGAGAGGCGAGUGGAAUUCCGAGUGUAGAGGUGAAAUUCGUAGAUAUUCGGAAGAACACCAGUGGCGAAGGCGACUCACUGGACACGUAUUGACGCUGAGGUGCGAAAGCGUGGGGAGCAAACAGGG